rnacentral:tRNA from 1 species
GUACCUGUAGCUCAGUUUGGUAGAGGAAAUCGGCGCACGAUACGGUCGUAGGUUCAAAUCCUACCAGGUGCU